AACAAACAGCCAUGUGGGCUCCCCUCUCUCUCUUUCUCUGUUAGAACUCAGUCUCCCUGUUGUACUUCAAGGCACCCCCUUGGUUCCUAUCUCAUGUGCAUUCUGACACAGCCAGGAAUGAAAAAGCAACCGUGGGGAAGACCAAACUAAGGAACAUCCAAGCUAAGAGACCGGGGAUGGAGAGCCAGAGCCCUGCACCUGGGGAUUAUAAAUUCUGAACUUGGCUGAACAAGACCAGUUUUCUCCCUCACUGCCAAAUAUUGUUCAUCCUCUGUGAGGGAUCUCAUGAUAAAAGUGCCUCUCCACUCUCCUCCUCCCACUUGCUUUCCAGGACAUUGGGUUUUAUUACAAUGGGGAGGUAAUGACAGCUAAUUGUUCACCAUUUUCAAGGCAUUUCACAUCCUGGAACGGUUUCAAGAACUGCUGAAUGCACAAGGAAUAUAUGCAAAAAGAAUGAAGGGAAACAAUCUAAAAUAGAAGUGGAAACACUGAAAAAUUGCCCCAAUCACCACAAGAGGAAAUUUCAGUUGCCAUGGAACUGCUAUGAAGACACAUACUCCAUAGGAUUCCAGCCAGCACAGACAUACCAUUUCAGAGAGGAAUUCCACAUUGUAAGAUUCCUGGGAGACAUUGACAGGGUCGUGCCACAACGAUGUUCUCACUGCAGGAGGCCAACUCCUAGCUGGCCCUACAGGACAUUCGCACUAUUGCAUAACUUCUCUGGUAUGUGUAUAGUAACAAUAUACUUAUCCUGCUGUAAGUGAAAGGGUCCCCUAUCAGGAAUUGCCUCAUGUAGUAGCCUUCUCCCUUUGCUCUUUCCUGAAGCAGAGCUAUGGUGGGAGUGCAGACAAGAAAGGGUAGAGUUCCUGAAGCCUUGUGGGUAUUGAACUGUGUGCCCGUUCCACACAUGUGCAGAAUCCUCCAAGAGUACCACAGCUUUGUACAGUUCUCUACCUUUCUAGCAGUGCUUGGCUCAUUCUCUCAGCCCUUCACAAAUGUGGGCACUCAUUCAACUACUCCUGGUAUCACAGGAAGCCUAGUUCAUCCUACCUUCCUUGCAGCUACUUGCUCAGGUCUGUUGGGUUUUUGCAGACAGGUGGAGAAAGAAUUUCCUUUGAAAAUAACUUCACACUGUAUUACUGCCGGGGGGGGGGGGGGUUAUUUUC